rnacentral:sRNA from 26 species
GUCAAUGGCCUCCCCAUUAAAUGGGGAGGCUUGUAAGAGCCAGUCUCUUGCAAGCCGAUUGACCAGACUUAGUUCUUGAGUGAUCGUUGUCGAGCUUCUCUGCGUCAAGGAUCACACUGAGAGAACUCCGAUGCUUCUAAGUGUUUCCGUUCGUACUGGCGGGUACUGCCCUAGCUCGCCACUCUACA